GACGAACGCUGGCGGCGUGCUUAACACAUGCAAGUCGAACGGAAAGGCCCUGCUUGCAGGGUACUCGAGUGGCGAACGGGUGAGUAACACGUGGGUGAUCUGCCCUGCACUUCGGGAUAAGCCUGGGAAACUAGGUCUAAUACCGGAUAGGAGCCAUUUUUAGUGUGAUGGUUGGAAAGUUUUUUCGGUGUAGGAUGAGCUCGCGGCCUAUCAGCUUGUUGGUGGGGUAAUGGCCUACCAAGGCGGCGACGGGUAGCCGGCCUGAGAGGGUGGACGGCCACAUUGGGACUGAGAUACGGCCCAGACUCCUACGGGAGGCAGCAGUGGGGAAUAUUGCACAAUGGGCGCAAGCCUGAUGCAGCGACGCCGCGUGGGGGAGGACGGCCUUCGGGUUGUAAACUCCUUUCGCUAGGGACGAAGCUUUUUGUGACGGUACCUAGAGAAGAAGCACCGGCUAACUACAUG
rnacentral:rRNA from 1 species